UCCAAGCCUCUUCGUCCUCAUCGGGCGGGGCGUAGCAAAUCACUCUGUUUAACUAUUUAGCUCAACGUUGGCGUGGCUAAUCAGAUUCCACCGAGCCAAUGAAGGAAUGAACACGAAAGACCGACUUAUUGACUGACUGACUGAUUAACUGACUAAAAGCAUUGGAUCACAUUUGACUGAGGAAGCGACACGAAUUUUUCACUUUACACUUCGUUCAUGUUUUAAAUGCUACUCUCCCUCCCUUCCUCUCUUCCUCCGUGUCCACUCCUCCUCCUGGUCCUACUCCUAACCCUUUCCCUCACCCCACCUGGCACCUGCGCACUCCACUCUCCGCCUGACUUACUCGGGGACUCUCAAAUAACGCCGGAGAGGAGAGGUGAGGCCAGACCCCCAUCGGCGCGCCUCCGUGCUGGACUGCCUGGGAAGGGAGGGCGAGAGAGCGAGGGAAAGAGUGAGAGCCAGACCGAGAGCGCUGGAGGGAGGAGUGACCUGCCAGCCAGCAAAGGCGCGCGAGCUCAGUAACUUUCUGUCAGUGGACGAGAGAGGAACGUCGCGCUGCGCUCUCUCACCGGUGACUCGUGCCGCCGCCUGUGCCGCUGAAGGAAACUUGCAAUCUCGGCUUGUUCGCGUGUUGGAGGUGGACUAGGCGACCCCUCAGCGUCCCGGAGGAAAGCAGGGUUUUUUUUUUCUUUACGACUCCUCCCCCUUACGUACGUCCAGCCACAAAAGGGAACGCUGAAAAAAAGGAGAAGAAGAGUGGGCUUAUGUGAACCGUGAAGUCUAUAAAACCGAGAGA